CCUACGGGAGGCAGCAGUGAGGAAUAUUGGUCAAUGGACGCAAGUCUGAACCAGCCAAGUAGCGUGCAGGAUGACGGCCCUCCGGGUUGUAAACUGCUUUUAGUUGGGAAUAAAAGGGGGCUCGUGAGCCCCGUAUUGUAUGUACCAUCAGAAAAAGGACCGGCUAAUUCCGUGCCAGCAGCCGCGGUAAUACGGAAGGUCCGGGCGUUAUCCGGAUUUCUUGGGUUUAAAGGGAGCGUAGGCCGGCUUUUAAGUCAGCGGUGAAAGUACGCGGCUCAACCGUGGAAUUGCAGUUGAAACUGGAGGCCGUGAGUGCACACAGGGAUGCCGGAAUUCAUGGUGUAGCGGUGAAAUGCUUAGAUAUCAUGAAGAACUCCGAUCGCGAAGGCAAGUGUCCGGGGUGCAACUGACGCUGAGGCUCGAAAGUGCGGGUAUCAAACAGGAUUAGAUACCCCUGUAGUC
rnacentral:rRNA from 1 species